rnacentral:rRNA from 1 species
UACGAAGGGGGCUAGCGUUGCUCGGAAUCACUGGGCGUAAAGCGCACGUAGGCGGACUCUUAAGUCGGUGGUGAAAUCCUGGAGCUCAACUCCAGAACUGCCUUCGAUACUGAGAGUCUCGAGUCCGAGAGAGGUGAGUGGAACUGCGAGUGUAGAGGUGAAAUUCGUGGAUAUUCGCAAGAACACCAGUGGCGAAGGCGGCUCACUGGCUCGGUACUGACGCUGAGGUGCGAAAGCGUGGGGAGCAAACAGG